rnacentral:hammerhead_ribozyme from 1 species
ACACUGCUGCCGAGUCCCAAACAGGACGAAACAGCUGUUCAGUGC